UUGUUGGUGGGGUAAUGGCCUACCCAAGGGCGACGACGGGUAGCCCGNCCUGAGAAGGUUUUCCGGCCCACACUGGGACUGAGAUACGGCCCCAGACUCCUACGGGAGGCAGCAGUGGGGAAUAUUGCACAAUGGGCGCAAGCCUGAUGCAGCGACGCCGCGUGAGGGAUGACGGCCUUCGGGUUGUAAACCUCUUUCAGCAGGGACGAAGCGCAAGUGACGGUACCUGUAGAAGAAGCACCGGCCAACUACGUGCCAGCAGCCGCGGUAAUACGUAGGGUGCGAGCGUUGUCCGGAAUUACUGGGCGUAAAGAGCUCGUAGGUGGUUUGUCGCGUUGUUCGUGAAAACUCACAGCUCAACUGUGGGCGUGCGGGCGAUACGGGCAGACUUGAGUACUGCAGGGGAGACUGGAAUUCCUGGUGUAGCGGUGGAAUGCGCAGAUAUCAGGAGGAACACCGGUGGCGAAGGCGGGUCUCUGGGCAGUAACUGACGCUGAGGAGCGAAAGCGUGGGGAGCGAACAGGAUUAGAUACCCUGGUAGUCCACGCCGUAAACGGUGGGUACUAGGUGUGGGUUU
rnacentral:rRNA from 2 species